AUGGAUGAUGUACUCGUUUUUUCAAGAACAUUUGAAGAGCAUCUGCAACACCUUACGAUUCUAUUUCAAAAGCUACGGGAAACCAAUCUAAAACUUAAACCAACAAAAUGUACUUUCGCUGCAAAAGAAGUAAAGUUUUUAGGCCACGUUUUAUCAAAAGAUGGAAUUGCUGUUGACACAACCAAGACAGAUGCAGUAAAAACAUUUCCAGUUCCCCAAAAUACAACAGAUGUCAGAGCAUUUUUAGGACUUGCAAACUACUACAGGAAGUUCGUAAAAGGUUUUUCUGAAAUUGCUAACCCGUUACACAGACAGCUUGUGAAAGGAGCUAAAUUUAUUUGGGACAAGAGCUGCCAACAGUCAUUCGAAGAGAUAAAGAAACUUUUAAUCUCAUCUCCAAUACUCGCGUUUCCAGACUUUUCAAAAGAUUUUAUACUCUACACGGACGCUUCACAGAUCGCUAUUGGUUACAUACUUGGACAAAAAGAUCAUAAAGGCAGAGAACAAGUCAUUGCUUAUGGUGGACGAUCAUUAAGAGGAGCCGAAAAGAACUAUACUGUAUCAGGGAUCUUGAAUAUUUAGCUUUGGUUGAAGGAGUUAAACAAUAUCAUGUUUAUUUGGCUAGCCGAAAAUUCACAAUAUAUACAGAUCAUGAAGCACUUCUACACACCAGAAGCUUACGAAGGAGAAAAUCACAGGCCGACUUGCAAGAUGGGCUAUGUUUCUACAAAGCUAUGAUUAUGAAAUAAUUCACAAAAAGGGAACGGCUAAUGGUAACGCUGAUGCGUUAAGUAGAAGCCACUAUACGAUACCGAAAUAGCUACUAUUACAACAGCUACAGUCGAAUCGUCAACACAAACAGAAGCCUCUUUCAUCGAGUUAGACCCAUAUGCGUCCAUUUGCGAAAUAACAACAAGUCCAAAGGAAAAAGUCGUAAAUGAUCAACGGACAGAUGAAAAUUUCAAAGAUGUCAUCAAGUACAUAUUAGAUAAAGAACUUCCAGACAAGACCAGACAAGCGAGAAAAAUAGUUAUUGAAUCCCAAGAUUAUAUCAUAGACGAUGACGUAUUAUAUCAUUUAUACUACCCGAAAGGAAAAGGUCACAGAGCGGAUAGAAUAGUCAAACGGUUAGCAGUACCCUUAACUCUACGAGACGAUAUCCUGAUAUCAUACCAUGACAGUUUACUUGGUGGACACGGUGGCAUUGAAAGAACUUAUCAUACCAUAAGAUAUAAGUACUAUUGGCCUGGUAUGUACAGUGACAUUCAACAAUACGUACAGACGUGUAUACAGUGUCAAAGAGCUAAGCCGGAUGCGCACAAACGCCCGACACCUUUACAGCCACUUCCAAUACUAGACGUUUUCAGACGGGUUCAUAUGGCUAUUUUAGGACCAUUUAGAAAGAGUCCAGAUGGAUAUUCACAUGUCUUACUUGUCGUAGACUCGUUCUCGAAAUAUGUAGAAAUCUUUCCAAUGAAGAAUACAGGUGCAAAAGAUGUAGCCAACAUAUUUUACAACCAAUGGAUAUGCCGAUAUUCCGCGCCAGAUGCAAUUCUUACAGAUAAAGGUCAAAAUUUCAUGUCUAAUAUAUUAAAAGAGGUUUGCAAUAUAUUCGAGAUCAAAAAGAUGAGAACCAGUAGCUACAGACCUCAAACAAAUAGUACUUGCGAGAGGAACAAUAAAACAAUAGCAGAGAAACUUCGUACAUACAUCGCCGCAAACCAAUUAGAUUGGCCAGAUAAAUUGUCCAGUAUUGCUCAUGCAAUGAACACAAGCGUAUGUACAGAAUCUACACAGUAUACCCCGUAUUACAUGGUGUUUAGUAGAGAAUGCAGAACGCCGAUUGAUACAGUUUUGACAGCACCCACAAAUGUUGGACCAGACGCAAGACUGUUCAUCGAUGGACUACAUAGCAAUGUCUUAUUAUGUUCGUUCAGAGAGAAAAGUUUAGGCGACAAAUGUUCGAAAUAUCGCGCUUGUAAAUAA
rnacentral:sRNA from 1 species